UGGCUCAGAGGGUAAAGCGUCUGCCUACAAUGCAGGAGACCAGGGAUCGAUCCCUG
rnacentral:tRNA from 1 species